rnacentral:rRNA from 1 species
GACGAACGCUGGCGGCGUGCUUAACACAUGCAAGUCGAACGGUGAAGCGCCUUCCUUUUUGGUGGGUGUGGAUGAGUGGCGAACGGGUGAGUAACACGUGAGUAACCUGCCCCCUUCUUCUGGAUAACCGCAUGAAAGUGUGGCUAAUACGGGAUAUUCUGGGUCUGUCGCAUGAUGGGUCUGGGAAAGAUAUUGUUUCGGUAGGGGAUGGGCUCGCGGCCUAUCAGCUUGUUGGUGGGGUGAUGGCCUACCAAGGCGGUGACGGGUAGCCGGCCUGAGAGGGUGGACGGUCACACGGGGACUGAGACACGGCCCAGACUCCUACGGGAGGCAGCAGUGGGGAAUAUUGCACAAUGGGCGCAAGCCUGAUGCAGCGACGCCGCGUGAGGGAUGGAGGCCUUCGGGUUGUGAACCUCUUUCGCCAGUGAAGCAGGCCUGCCUCGUUUGUGGGUGGGUUGACGGUAGCUGGAUAAGAAGCGCCGGCUAACUACGUG